rnacentral:tRNA from 1 species
UCCUCAGUAGCUCAGCUGGUCAGAGCACCUGACUGUUAAUCAGGGUGUCGCUGGUUCGAAUCCAGCCUGGGGAGCGA